rnacentral:pre_miRNA from 1 species
AAAAUACUUCCUUCGUUUCGAAUUACUUGUCGCAGAAAUGGAUGUAUCUAGAACUAAAAAAUGUCUAGAUACAUCCAUUUCUACGACAAGUAAUUCCGAACGGAGGAAGUAGGAA